rnacentral:rRNA from 1 species
ACACGUAGGGGGCGAGCGUUGUUCGGAAUCAUUGGGCGUAAAGGGCGUGCAGGCGGUCCUGCAAGUCCGGCGUGAAAGACCCCGGCCCAACCGGGGGGACGCGCUGGAAACUGCAGGGCUUGAGUACAGGAGGGGAUGCCGGAAUUCCAGGUGUAGGGGUGAAAUCUGUAGAUAUCUGGAAGAACACCAAUGGCGAAGGCAGGCAUCUGGCCAUGUACUGGCGCUGAGACGCGAAGGUGCGGGGAGCAAACAGGUUUAGAUACCCUGGUAGUCCGCACAGUAAACGAUGUGCACCAGGUGGCGGGGGGUCGACCCCCGGUACCGUAGCUAACGCAUUAAGUGCACCGCCUGGGGAGUAUGCUCGCAAGGGUGAAACUCAAAUGAAUUGACGGGG